UUAUGGCCAUCCGAUGGCUUCUGAUCAACGCGGUUGAUGCGUCUCGCGACUUGCUCGUCCCGACAGUUUCCACCUUCCGUCAAGCCAUUCCCCACCAUCUCCACUGUAGCUAGGGUUUCGAUCGGCAAGCUGAACGCGCCGGCGGCUAGAGAGUGCGCGCAAGAGGGCGUCGAGUUCGUCCAUGGAGAGCUAGCCACGCGCAGGGAGAGGGAGAUCGUUCGAGGGCGAGGCGCGAGGGAGUGCGCCUAGCUCAGAGGCGGAGGUCGACCCGCGCGUGAGGGUGAUCGAGAUCAGAUAUGAAGAACGAAGAGCGCCAUAGGGAUUCGAGCUUGGAUUCGUGAUUUACGAAAGCGGCGGCGUUUACAUCGUGGAUCCUGAGAUUCCUGGAUCAUUUCAACGAAAAAUGGAGGAUAACGGAAGGAAGUACAUUAGCUCCCUAGAUGACAAUGCAACAUAACUCUUACUCGUUGCUUUUUGGUUUGGCAAGAAUCUGGAUAGGAGCAAGGUGGGUGCUUGAUCUGCUUGAAGCAACCAACAACCAGAUUUUGGAAGAUGUCAACUAGUCGAGAUUUGUUUUCUUCAUUCUUGGUCUUUUUCCAACUAUCGUUGUUAUGUCAACAAGUAAUAUAAAGUUGUAGAUUUCUAUAGCUAUGUCGAGCGUUAAGAUAUUAGAGAUUUCCUGUGUCAGUUGAUAUUUUCAACAUGCGCAAGAUACAAACUGAUGUAUUUUAGCCAAUUUUGAGCAAUAUGUACCAUUUUUGUGA